CGUUACUCGUCAACCUCAUUCAACGAGGAGGAAGGAGCAAGGGGCAACAUCUUGUCCUAACAAAUGGUCGGUGCUAAGGAAAUCGUCAUAAAUUUGGAAAGCUAUAUUGCAUUUUUUAAAGAAAAACUCGACAUAUUGCGAGCAGGUUGAUUAAGUACAAUAAUUUUAAUCAAAAACUUUAAGCGGGUGUUGAUCUUUCACCCACAUUUUCUGGUAGUACUGUUGCGUGUUUGUUAGCUAGGCUAACUAAGGCUCUAUCUGCAACAUGAGCUAUGGUAGGCCCCCGCCCGAUGUUGAGGGCAUGACUUCUCUUAAAGUGGAUAAUCUGACGUACCGAACCUCACCUGAGACCCUUCGCCGUGUCUUUGAAAAGUAUGGUAGGGUAGGAGAUGUUUACAUCCCCCGAGAUCGUUAUACGAAAGAGAGCAGAGGGUUCUCCUUUGUGCGAUUCCAUGACAAGCGGGACGCAGAGGAUGCGAUGGACGCAAUGGAUGGUGCCGUGCUGGACGGACGCGAGUUAAGAGUCCAGAUGGCCCGUUACGGACGUCCCCCAGAUUCUCAUCAUGGAGGCGGUGGUGACCGUGGUGAUCGUGGUGACCGUCGGCGUGGAGGUGCACCCCGGAGGUACGGGGGUGAUGGCCGACGAAGUAGGAGUCCAAGGCGUCGGAGACGCAGCAGAUCCCGGAGCAGAAGCCGAUCUCGUUCCCGCAGCCGCUCCCGCAACAGCCGAUCAAGGUCUCGUUCCUACUCUCGCUCCAAGUCUCGCUCCCCUAAGAGAGACAAGGCCAAGUCCCCGUCCAGGUCCCGCUCCAGAUCAAAGUCUCCUAAAUCAAAGUCCCGUUCCAGGAGCCACACCCCUGCAGAAAGAGCCUCAAGAUCAAGAUCCAAGAGUCAGCCCAAGUCACCUGGGGAGAAUGGAGCUGAAACCCCAUAGAUGACUGACAAAAUGCUGCGGAAUCCUGUUUGCAAAAGAGGAGUUUGAGGCAGUAUGAACAGUUAGUGAGCUGGGUGUGUGAGCUGUCCGGGCACCUGCUGCUGUGGGGGUUGCUAUGGAGCAGGCCGGUUGCAGGUUGCAGUCAGUGUUGGGGUGGUGUUGAGAUGAGAUGCCAAUGAGGACGUCACACUUCAGACUGAGGACCCUGUCCAUAAAAUGAUUUCUGUGUAAAAGGUUAUUGUUGUAUCGUGAUCGGAAGGCUUUGUGUAUUUUUUUUUUUCCUGUUUGUCCAGGCUGCUCAUCUUUCAUUGUGCAAUGUUUAACAAAGAAAUAAAAACUAUACUUAAUGUGCUUUUGAGGUAGAUGGGCUAAAACUGAUUGGAUUUCAAUUUGUUGGACUGCAUGGCUAUUUUAGUUAUCUAAAACUCAGUGACGAUUUGAUGGCCUAGCUUUUACAAAUGUUAUUUUGGGUUUCAUGAAGGCCAUUACAGAAGUUCAAAUGGAUAGGGCUUUUAGAAUAAGUAUGACAAGAACCAGGCAUGGAUUUACUUGCAGGUCAACUUGCUAUGUAGCGUUGUUUAAAUUCAUUGACUCUAAUCUUCUCUCCUGUAUUUUUUGUGCACUAGGCGCAGUUGUGUAGCAGUUGAGUAUUGCUGGUUAGCUGUUAAGGUGGCGUGUUGCAGUGCUUGGCUGUUUCCAGUGUUCUCCGGAAUGCCCCUGUGGCUACAAUGCUGUGAUGGUGGCCAACUUAAAUGGCUGCUACAAAUUCACCAUCGGUAGAAUGCCUGUCUUUCAACAAGUUCAAAUGUUCUCUAAUUCAGAGCACUAAGUAUGUUGUGCUAAUUUUCUUUAAUGCAUUCUGUCUUGCCCUAAUUUUCUUUAAUGCAUUCUGUCUUGCCCUAUGUGCAUUCCUUUUCCCCCUUGCAAGAGUCUGUAUAGGUGUCUGAUGUGAAAGCUAAUAAAAAUGGUCUUCUAAAACA